CAGUAGCCGCGGGAAUACGGAGGGUGCAAGCGUUAAUCGGAAUUACUGGGCGUAAAGCGCACGCAGGCGGUCUGUCAAGUCAGAUGUGAAAUCCCCGGGCUUAACCUGGGAACUGCAUUUGAAACUGGCAGGCUAGAGUCUUGUAGAGGGGGGUAGAAUUCCAGGUGUAGCGGUGAAAUGCGUAGAGAUCUGGAGGAAUACCGGUGGCGAAGGCGGCCCCCUGGACAAAGACUGACGCUGAGGUACGAAAGCAUGGGGAGCAAACAGGAUUAGAUACCCGUGUAGUCCCUGUCUCUUAUAC
rnacentral:rRNA from 1 species